rnacentral:rRNA from 1 species
GCUCAGGAUGAACGCUGGCGGCGCGCCUAACACAUGCAAGUCGAACGGUUAAAGCCCCUUCGGGGGUGCAUAGAGUGGCGAACGGCUGAGUAACACGUGGGCAACCUGCCCCCCGCACCGGGACAGCCUCGGGAAACCGUGGUUAAUACCGGAUACUCCGCCACCCCCGCAUGGGGGCGGCGGGAAAGCCCAGGCGGAGGGGGAUGGGCCCGCGGCCUGUUAGCUCGUUGGCGGGGUAACGGCCCACCAAGGCGAUGAUGGGUAGCCGGGUUGAGAGACCGACCGGCCAGAUUGGGACUGAGACACGGCCCAGACUCCUACGGGAGGCAGCAGUGGGGAAUCUUGCACAAUGGGCGAAAGCCUGAUGCAGCGACGCCGCGUGCGGGACGAAGGCCUUCGGGUCGUAAACCGCUUUCAGCAGGGACGAGGCCGAAAGGUGACGGUACCUGCAGAAGAAGCCCCGGCUAACUACGUGCCAGCAGCCGCGGUAAUACGUAGGGGGCGAGCGUUAUCCGGAUUCAUUGGGCGUAAAGCGCGCGCAGGCGGCCUGCUCGGUCGGGAGUCAAAUCCGGGGGCUCAACCCCCGCCCGCUCCCGAUACCGGCGGGCUUGAGUCUGGUAGGGGAAGGCGGAAUUCCCAGUGUAGCGGUGGAAUGCGCAGAUAUUGGGAAGAACACCGGUGGCGAAGGCGGCCUUCUGGGCCACGACUGACGCUGAGGCGCGAAAGCUAGGGGAGCGAACAGGAUUAGAUACCCUGGUAGUCCUAGCCGUAAACGAUGGACACUAGGUGUGGGGGGAGGAUCCCUCCGUGCCGCAGCCAACGCAUUAAGUGUCCCGCCUGGGGAGUACGGCCGCAAGGCUAAAACUCAAAGGAAUUGACGGGGGCCC